rnacentral:lncRNA from 1 species
UGCCCCCCACAACUUAUUGGCCCAGCCAGGGCUCAAGACGGCUGCCCCCUUGGCUGUGACCUCAGUUUCACACCUCCUGAAACUGAGGUCAGAUUAUUUUUAGUUCCUCUCCCACUGGUCCUGCUGCUGUAUUAUUCCUUUUCACUAUAAUUUUUAAUGUUCCAAAUUCAAUUGUGACUCUUCACUUGAGAUGCACCUAGGAAGACAGGAGGAGGCUCCUGGUUACAGUCUUGGGGGAAGGAAUAGAGCAUCUUUAAAGGCCUUAUAGCACCAUGGACACUUUCCCUUCUUCCUCACACCAUCCCCUCCUUUCAUUUUCUAAAAAUCCAGCCACUCUGUUGCCUUCCAUGUGCCAGGCGCUGCCCUGGGGAGGCAAAGGGGAGAAAGGUGACCCACACACAAAUUGGACAGUAGAGUCAACACUCUGAUUCUGGAGAGCAGGGCUUGGCCCUGCCCUGCGCAGGCUGAUUUCAGGCUUCCCUGACACGUGCUUGCCUGGGUACAAGACUUCUCACCCCGUCCCCCCCCCAUCCUGCCAUUAUUCCCAACUCCCCAGGCAUUCCUCUUAGACAUCCCCCCUCCCCUCUUGCCUGAGCUGACGCUGUCUAUGCUAUUCCCAGCUAUUUCCCAGUAGAGCAAAUAUCACCAAAAGCACGAUCACAUCCAGAGUAAAAAUAAGCUUGAUUCAACGCCACUUUUAGCUCCAUCAGUGUCUCUGAGCCUCACUUCCUCUGCACUUUAUCUAGGGUCUCCGAGAUGACUGAGUCACUAAAAGCCAAGUUACUCCUUGGCUUUCUGGUUGGAGCCCCUUAUUUCUCAGUGGCCAUCUGCAUGUGUCUGAGCUGACCCUUCUUUGGUUGGUCAUUUCAUGGCUCUGUCCUCCCACCGCUGCCUCGACCAGCCACAGGUCCUCCCCUGGUCGCUUUCUCUCACUCCAUCCUCCUUUCAUUCAAGACAUCAGACUAGGAUAGGCUUGGGUUUUUCAUCAGCUACCCCUGCCUGACAGUUGCAUUUUACGGUGAAAGUGCAUUUAGAGUAAAAGCUGAGGCUGAAGAUGGCUUUCUUGGUGGCCUUUUAAGCUCUCCCUUGGAAAGGCUGUAAAUGGGAAUGACAAAAGGAAAAGGACGAGCCCAGCAACCCAAACCAGCGGGAGCGCCUGGCCUCACCCACUAGGUGAGCAGACGAUCCUAGAAGGGUAGAGUCAUGCCAGAGAUUUCAUAGCUGAAUGGAUUUCCAGCUAUUUCCAGACACAUGGCAAGGGCCCUCAGAGGCUAGUGGUCCCCUGCUCAGUGGCUGCAGAGGUGAGGGUCCCAGCAGGGAUGCUCACUGUCAACCCCCAGGUGCUGAGCUCCCGAGGCUGCCCCAAACCCACCCCCCCCACAGGGAUACAGAGAAGAGCCCUAUGGGAGAGGAUACUCCCAAUUAGGCGAAAAUUAUGUACAUUCCCCACCACCACCCUGGGCACAAAAGCAAAAAAAAAAAACAACCACUUUAUUACACCAGGGCUUGUAAUUGAACACAUCUGAUUCCCUGACUUAAAAAAAAAAAAAAUGUUUUUUUCAUUUUGAAGCAGGUAUUUUUUAAUGGGGCUUAUUUUUUGGGUUUGAGAUCACUGGGCUUCUUGCCCUGUGAAUCAAUGCUUGCUGCUGUGUUGAAAAUGCAUACAUUGGUGACCACAGUAUUAAGCCAAAUUUAAACUCUUUUGUCUCCUCCAUCUGUAAGUGUUAUGUAUCUACCUCAUUAUGAUUUUUUUGGUUUCCUGUGCUUUCGUGUUGUGUACAAUGUCAGAGGUGAAAUGUAGAUAAAAAUAUAUAUAUAUAAAAAUAUAUAUUUUUUGCUUUGCAAUAAAGUUCAAAGCUAUAACACAGAAUAUUCAUGAAAUGUCAUAGCCUUUUAUUAUGCUCUAUCUUCUUAGUUGUGAAUUGUCCUGGGAGCCCUUUUGCCUAUUCACUAGAGUCUAUAUUAUUGUGUUUGUCAUUUGAUGAAUUAGUUUAAUUAUUUUAACUGUACUUUUUGACACGUUGAAUAAGACACUAGGAUUCUUGAACAACUCUUGGUUCCAAAGGUGCUUUAUUUCUGUGGACUUAUGUGAUCAAAUGGAAGGGAAAUGUCUCUGCAGACUUGAAUCUUCCAGAUAAGAUUAUUGAUCUCAGUGCCACUGGGUUUAGAACUAAAGGUUUGUGCGCAGGGGGAAAAAGGAAACAUUGGUUUGGCUUUGACUUUUUGAAGCUUUCGAUAUUGAUUUAUGUCCAACCUUCUUUUUUUUUUUUUUAAAUUUCAAUCUCUUGACAUGGAAUGUGUUACCAACAGACUCCCUAGCAUCCUCAUCUAAUUGGGCUGCUUUCCACUUUUUGACUUGAUUGGUUUCUCUAGGUUGAUUUUACGUAUUGCGCUGUUUGGUGGUGAACCACCCUGUGCCCAGCCCUCACAUCUCCUCUAAACCUUGUGAAACCCUCUUCCUGACCAUGUGUUAAGAGGGACGGUGAGUUGGAAACACUUGUAGUCAACAAGCCAGAGAUAAAGACCCAAAUUCUUCCGAAGAAUCCUGUUCAAGUACAGUUCAGGGCGAAGGGAUCUUGGGUAGAAAUUGCAAGGUGGAUUGUCUGCAGUUGAUUCUAUGAUUGGACAGAAUGAUUUUCAUUUAACUAAACUUAGGCCGUGAGUCCUAGAUACUCUGUAUGGUUCAACUGCCCUCGUUUUUGUGUCUUUUGCCAAAAUGUGUAAAACAUUUCUCAAAUUCAUUACAUAUGUUUUAAAUGGGAUAAAGAAAGGUCUAUACGUUGAAGAGACUUUAAAAUGAUACUUCCGUGAAACUCUGUACGUGUUUUUGUUCUUCCCCAGCUCCAGAGAGCUAGGGGAAAGUCGUAAUCGAAGGCGGGAGAAUGUUUCUACAAACGCCAUGUUUUCCCUUCAGAUACAUACAAUGACUACAGAAAAGAAAAACACUUAUGAUUCAAUUUCAUAAUAUGUCCAUUUUCCCUGCCUUUUUUUUCUUCUGAUGAUCACAACGAAUUGCUUGUUUGUAUUAAGAAUAGACACUCUCAGUUAUAUUGGGGGAGGUUUGCUUUUCUCCUUAACAAGGCUGAACCGGCAUUCAAAGAACUCUGGUUGGGUUAUCCUUUGCCUGUUCUCAGCUAUUUCUCUCUUUUUAUGGUAUAAUGGUCUGUCUAUGAAUUGAAAUGCAGAUAAAAUAUGUACUGAAGGUGGAACACGUGAGUGUUGACUUGAAGGGGGAAAAACUUUAAUGAUAAAUAUAUACUGAUAUAUCUCUAUAUAUACCUAUAAGCAGGUGAGUGGGAAUAUAUGAUAUAUUCACACACCCACACCCACAACACACACAUAGGCACAAUGACGAUAUGCUUCCAAAGUUGGUUUUCUGAUUCUGAGGCAUUUGCCACCUCACUGAGCUUCCCAAGCUUCCAAAAUUUCUUUUGAAAUAAUCGUUUAAAAAAUGUUUUGCUUUGUGUUUUAGGUACUAGAAAGCACAAGUUCUAAUUAUUCCCUGUUCUUUGGGGGACGUAAGUACUGUAGAUUCAGAGGAGCCUGUCUUUAGGUGGGUUUCUAUGGGACCCUUUCUUGCACCACCUCCUUCCAGCCCAUCCAAGGCCGAGAGAAAGUUAUCUGCAGAGCCAUCCACACCCUCCCAUCUUUGCUGUGUCUUUCCAUUCAUCUCAGGUCUCCAGUUUUCCCACGGGGGAGCUCUUGUUUGCUGGAGUCCUUUCUGAAGUUUGGAUCCCAGGCUGACUUCUCUCUCCAUGUAGGCUCUGGGCAUUUCCAUAUUUGCUGCCACCCUUUCUGGAUGACCAGACCCUUCGCACCUCCAAAUCUCUACCAGGACACAGGUAACUAGGAGAUUCCAGGCUGAACAGAAGGAACAUCUUGCUGCAGCUCGGUAGAGGCAUUUUAGGUAGGUGUAUUGUAGUCCUGAGCACCAAGUUCAAUCUGUUUCAUAUGGAGGAAGGUUCCAAAAGGACCAGACUCUAAAGGUAACCUCAGGAGAGGGCAUGACGAAACUGCUGAGCCAGACCAGCUGGUUUUGUCCAUGUGGUGCCCCCUGCUGGCUCACAGGAAAAGCUCCCUUGGUUGAGAGGGAAUUCUUCAACAGAGCAAGUGUGGGAACGGGGGUGGGGAGGGGGGGUGAAGGUCUCUGGCUUCACCUCAUUAUGAAAAGGGAUUGUCUUCUCUGCCAUUCAUUUUCUGCCCAGAGCCCUUGUCUCUGCAAGGCGAGUUGGUCUUUGGUCUUGACCAUUGUUGUUGGGCUGUUGUGGGAAGUUUUUUUGCUGCUGUGAGGAUGCGGUCUUGUGUCGCUACUAGUCUGGGCACUUCUUUGUCCCCAUGAAGGGACAAGGCACUGUCCUGGGAUGUGAUCAUCAUGUCCAUGCUAGAUGGACAUGCUUUCAGCCCUGGCCACGGUUUUUCAUCACCCUUGAACCUCGGGGGGAAUCUGCAACUGGGAACCCACUUCUGACUCUCUAGCUGCUUUCUGAGUAGCCUGUUUCGAGACAAGGACAACUUCUAUGCCUGAGGAACUGUGAAAUCACUUUGAAAUUAGAGGCAGGAAGUGUAUUUCAAUGGGAUGUAGCAAGUAAUACAAGAAUUUCUCCUACCCUGAAUUUGAAGUGUGGUACAGCCAUUGUAGAGACUUUUUGACCUUGGACUUCUCAGGCCACUGGGUCUGCCAUGCAUUGACGCUCCUUGCAAGGACAAGGUGGUGGAUAACUUAUAUUUGACCCCCUGGAGCCUCCUGCCGGACAGUAUUCCUAUUUAAAUUCAGCUAGUCACUUGGCUAUCAAAUAUUUAUUAAACACCUACUAUGCCAGUUGCAGAGCUGGAAUGGUAGGGGCUCUAAAGAGAAAACGAACCUCUAGGAAUUAAAUAUGAGGGGCAAGAAAUGUCCAUAAAUAACCAUAAUACAGUGAAAAACAGAGCCCCAAGAAGGUUCAAGGUGCAAUGGGCAGCCAAAAGAGGCAGCAGUACUUCCAAGGAGAGAUAAGGGAAGACUUUAAAAAGGCUGACAUUUGACUUGGGUUUUGAAGGCUCCAUGGAUGAGAUGCAUGAAGGGUGAAUUGGGUUAGCUGUGCCUGCAGUCAUGUGACAUCAUUCAUUCAUUUGAGAUGUUGAUAGCCUUCUAAUGAGAAAGGAAGACAAUUUCCAGCAGUAUCUCUGUCUGUUUAACAUUCACCCAACCUCGUUGGAAGAACAGUCCUUCAAGCUGCAACUGGUUUCUCUUUGAUUGGUAAUAUGAUUUAGAGAAUGGCAUUCCCUUGUGGAUAAACCCUCUCCCUCCACAAAGUCGUCAUGGCGCUCCCAGAGCUGGGCUUGUGGGCAUGCAUACCUGUUCAUGUACAGGGCUUUCCUCACAGUUUAGUUCCCUGCAGCUUUAGUGUGUCUAAAGCCCAUUCCUCUGGUCCUCCUGUCUCAGUGGAAGCAGGAGGAAUGAGGCCUUCAAGUGAUGGUGGUUUGCAUAUCUCCACAGGUGAGGGCAAGUCAGAGGAUUGGAAGGUGUCCAUUGACCAUUCCAGGUUUGAUUUAAGGCCAAAGGGGAGGAAGAUUGAUUAAUUAAUGGGGUUUCUUACAGCGUAGUACUAACCAUGAGACACAGAAGAGCCCAGUCUCUGUUUCUUAUAAAGUUUCAGUUCAACCCUGGUCUCAGAUUUAGCUCAUAUUUACUAAGCACUUGCUUCCUGCCAGGCACUUUGCCCAGUGCUUUUAGUUUAUCUAACUUAUUCUUCAUAGUGACUUUAUUAUCUGAGGGAAUUUAAUGUUGGGCUUUAUUUUAUAGAGGAGGAGAGAUACAUAGGGGGUUGAAUGGUUUUGCCCAAUUUCCCUGGAUUCAUGAAAGACAAACCACGAUGUGGGCUCAGGUGUCUUGAGCCUCCUCACUUAACCUGGUGGGGGUGUCUUAACUUUAUUUUCUUCCUGCUGCUUAAUUGAACUCUGAGGGUUCACUCUCUAGUGACACAUCUAGGUCUGCGUCAGCCCAAAUGCUUGACUUGUAUAGAAACAACUUAUACUGAAAGUGGCUAAGGGCCAUGGCCUCUGGUAUCAUCUUGAGUUUGACAUAUGGAAAAGAAACCCUUUCCCUGAUUUCCAGUGAUCUUCUCUGAAAAAAGGUGCCUAAACUGUAUCCUAUGAGCACUUACUUUCUAAAUCAAUUGGUGUUCCUCUGGUUUCUCCCAAGGGACUCUUUGGGCAGGAUCCACCUAUGUUGUAGAGAGGAAAUCAGGGCAUUGAGAGACACCAUUAUCUUUCGGAGCCCAAACUG